rnacentral:rRNA from 1 species
UUAAAGAGAGUUUGAUCCUGGCUCAGGACGAACGCUGGCGGCGUGCCUAAUACAUGCAAGUCGAACGAACCAAAGAGAAGCUUGCUUCUCUGUCGGUGAGUGGCGGACGGGUGAGUAACACGUGGGCAACCUGCCUAUCAGCGGGGGAUAACACUUGGAAACAGGUGCUAAUACCGCAUAAUAGAGAAGUUCGCAUGAACUUCUUUUGAAAGACGGUUUCGGCUGUCACUGAUAGAUGGGCCCGCGGUGCAUUAGCUAGUUGGUGGGGUAAAGGCCUACCAAGGCGACGAUGCAUAGCCGACCUGAGAGGGUGAUCGGCCACACUGGGACUGAGACACGGCCCAGACUCCUACGGGAGGCAGCAGUAGGGAAUCUUCCGCAAUGGACGAAAGUCUGACGGAGCAACGCCGCGUGUGUGAAGAAGGUUUUCGGAUCGUAAAGCACUGUUGUUAGAGAAGAACAAG